GAUGAACGCUGGCGGCGUGCCUAAUACAUGCAAGUCGAGUGAACAGACGAGGAGCUUGCUCCUCUGACGUUAGCGGCGGACGGGUGAGUAACACGUGGAUAACCUACCUAUAAGACUGGGAUAACUUCGGGAAACCGGAGCUAAUACCGGAUAAUAUAUUGAACCGCAUGGUUCGAUAGUGAAAGACGGUUUUGCUGUCACUUAUAGAUGGAUCCGCGCCGCAUUAGCUAGUUGGUAAGGUAACGGCUUACCAAGGCGACGAUGCGUGGCCGACCUGAGAGGGUGAUCGGCCACACUGACACUGAGGCACGGUCCAGACUCCUACGGUAAGAAGCAGUAGGGAAUCUUCCGCAAUGGGCGAAAGCCUGACGGAGCAACGCCGCGUGAGUGAUGAAGGUCUUCGGAUCGUAAAAAUCUGUUAUUAGGGAAGAACAAAUGUGUAGGUAACUAUGCACGUCUUGACGGUACCUAAUCAGAAAGCCACGGCUAACUACGUG
rnacentral:rRNA from 1 species